AGGAGAAUGGCAUGAACCCAGGAGGCAGAGCUUGCAGUGAGCCGAGAUUGUGCCACUGCAUUCCAGCCUGGACGACAGAGCGAGACUCUGUCUCAAAAAAAAAAAAAGGUGGGGGGGGUGCGAAGGACAUAAACAGAUACUUCUCAAAAGAAGACAUUUGUGCGGCCAAUAAACAUAUAAAAAAAAGCUCAACAUCACUGAUCAUUAGAGAAAUGCAAAUCAAAACCACAAUGAGAUAACCAUCUCACACCAGUCAGAAUGACGAUUAUUAAAAAGAAAAAACAGAUGCUGGCGAGAUUAUCAAGAAAAGGGAACCCUUAUGCACUGUUGGUGGGGGUGUAAAUUAGUUCAGCCAUUGUGGAAGACAAUGUGAUUCCUCAAAGACCUAGAACCAGAAAUACCAUUUGACCCAGCAAUCCCAUUACUGGGUAUAUACCCAAAGAAAUAUAAAUCAUUCUAUUAUAAAGAUACCGGCACACCUAUAUUCAUUGCAGUACUAUUUGCAAUAGCAAAGACAUGGAAUCAACCAAAUGCCCAUCAAUGAUAGACUGGAUAAAGAAAAUGUGGUACAUAUACACUGCAGAAUACUGUGCAGCCAUAAAAAGGAACAAGAUCAUGUCCUUUGCAGGGACAUGGAUGGAGCUGGAAGCCAUUAUCCUCAGCAAACUAACGCAGGAACAGAAAACCAAAUACCGCAUGUUCUCACUUAUAAGUGGGAGCUGAACAAUGAGAACACAUGGACACAGGGAGGGGAACAACACAUACUGGGGCCUGUCAGAGGGGUGGGGAGGAGGGAGAGCAUCAGGAUAAAUAGCUAAUGCAUGUGGUGCUUAAUACCUAGGUGAUGGGUUGAUAAGUGCAGCAAAUCACCAUGGCACAUGUUUACCUAUGUGACAAGCCUGCACAUCCUGCACUUGUAUCCCAGAAUUUAAAUUAUUUAAAAAAUCAGAAUGUGGGAUCAACUUGAUGUCAUCUUCAAUAUGUUAUAAGCCUGUGGUGCCUUAUUCACACCAAAUAACAUUUAUUGGACACCUGAAUACAUUUAGCUUUUCACCAAAACUCUUAAACAGUAAAUUCAGGGCCAGGUGUGGUGGCUCACUCCUGUAGUUCCAGCCACUCAGAAGGCUGAGGCAGGAGGAUUGCUUGAGUCCAGGAGUUGGAGGCUGUAGUGAGCUAGGGUCACACUAUUGCACUCUAACCUCGGUGAAAGAGCAAGACUCUUGCCUCUUAAAAAAAAAAAACAGUAGAUGCAGAUGCUUUAAGCCUUUAUGAGCAUGUAUAUUAAAUAGAUGGCAUAUGAAAGUGCAUAUUCACACUUCACAAUGUGGCAACAGUUAUAGCAGCACAGAAAGACCACAUUUAAAUCCAGGACAGGUUGGAAGUAGCAUAUAGCAGUAUGCAGCCAUAUAAUAAAAGUCCUCCGUCUCAGAAACUAAAAACAUGAAUGAAAACUGAGGCAGAAUGGACCAGCAAAACCAUACCGGCAGCAUUCAAACAAAGGAAGCGGGUAGUACAGCCUCACACCAUAAACUCUGAAAAGCAGCAGCGGACAAAAGACCUACUAGAAUUAGAAUUUGGCUCCUAUACUCUGGCUUCCUAGAAGCUGUGCAUGGGCGAGGACAAGGUUAGUUAAUUUGUGAAAAAUCAAAUGCAUUUGGAGGGAAUCAGAUGCCUGUUGAGUCGGCACUUAGGGGAAAAUUCAGAAAGUGUUUCUCCAAGGUGGAAGCUCCUCCCCCACCACACAUAACAUCAUCCGGCAUCAUAUAGCAGGGCUACUGCCAGCCCACGCUCAGUCCUGUGUGUGAGUGAGUGGCACCUUUGUACAGAGAAAGGUCCUUUCUCUGAGCAGAUGCAACCCCACACCAGGACACAUGGCUCAGAGUAAACUGGAUUUCAGCCCCCAGCUGCAUUCUCAUUGGCUCCCUUGUGCAGUGCACUGACCUCAUGACUGUCUCAGUCCUGCUCCCCAAGGAACGGAAAGCUGUUGGGAGUGGCAUUCUGACUCUGUCUGGGAGGGAGGCAGAUGAGGAGCAAGGUUCCCCAGAACUCACUGUCUCCAAUGGCAGGUGGUCUGGGAGCUGGUCCUGACCUGGUUCUUGUUACCUGAGAGGGCGAGGCUUAUGAGGAGUGGUAAUUGGAGUUGACUGUCCCCUCUUCUUAUUAUUUCUGUAAUGUUGUUUUAAACUGGACAAAAUUCACUCUGUCUAGUCCAGGGCAUAUCCUGUUUCCAAGGACAGCAUCUUCCAAUGUGGGUGGUUCUGCCAAACAGGGUAAACUUUUUCACUUGUGACAGAAAUGCUUAGCCUCAGGGAUAAAUCCCACCUCCUUCACUCCCAUCUCUCCAGAAGUUGCUCCUCCUCUCCUCCUAGACAGGGAGGAAAAGUGGGGGAAACAGGUGGCUUUGGGGCUUUCCUCCUCACGGGAGUGGGGAACUUAGGGCAGGGCUGUCCGUCAGUCCCUUUCCCCUCUGCUCGGUUGGUUCUUGUGCUGGUACUUUUUGAGUUCUCUGUCCUCUGAGGACUGCAUAUUCCUGACUUGUGUCUUAUUGUCUAAGAGGAAGGGACUCGGCUGGAAGCAGCUUGGAGAAGACCAAAGAGUUCAGGUUGGGUGGGAGAGUUUCAAAGACCACCCACACUGUAACUGGGGACCCACAAGGCUGCUGUGCAACCAUGAGAAAGAUGCAGAGAAACUGCCCAUCAACUAUUUUUUGUAGAGACAGGGUCUCACUAUGUUGCCCAGGCUGGUCUCUUACUCCUGGCCUCAGACGGUCUGCCCACCUUGGCUUCCCAAAGUGCUGGGAUUAGGUGUGAACCACCAUACCCAGCCUUAUGCCUGUAAACAAUGUAAAUAAUGCUACAGGAAAAAAAGAGAUAGAUAUAGAACCCAUUCUGAAAGAAAAUUUACUCUAGGAAAUAGAACAUCCUCCACAUCAAAUGCCCUAUAGUCUAAAAGAAAUUAAAGAGAAAAAGGAUCAAUGAAAAAACAAGUCAAAGACAAAAUGAGACACUACAAUAAAAUAGAAAGGAAACUUAGAGCUAAGGACAUGAGUUUCAUAAAUUAGAAACAGCAAAGAACAAAAUACGCACAGCUAAAAAUUGAGUUGCCAACACACAGAACCCUUGAGAUAAUUCAGUCAAGUGCUUAUUGAGCAUCAUCUAUAUGCACCUGACGCUGUUCUGGCACAGGGUUAAAAACAAACAAACAAAAAGACAAUCCCCCGUCCUUGUGGAGCUAUGUUCUAAUUGGGGUGAGGACAUAGGUGGUAUGUACUGAUGAUAAAUGCUAUGGAAGAAAAUAAGGCAGGAUGAGGAGGAAAGAGUGACAAAGGUUAUUAGAUUUCCUGGGGUUGUGGGAAGGCCUCUGAUCAGGGAAUAUUUGAUCAGAUGGACAAAAAAUAGAGAUGGGGGUAAACAAGGUUGAUCCAACAUAAAGAAAACUGGUAGGUAGAGAAGGAUACGAGACUGGCACAGAAAAAAUUCAAGUAAAUGAUGUUUUCCCUAAAUAAAUAAAUCUGCAGAUCAGGAGAACACAUCAUGUUUCAGAAAAAUUUAAUACAGAAUGAGCAACAUUGAAACAUACAUUGGGAGAAUUUACUUGGAGAAGUUUAUGCCAAAAAAAGUCAUCUAUCACUCAAUUUCUCCACAUCAGUUCAAUGUUGUACAAUGUGACCUGAGAUUUUUUUUCCCCAAAUACUUAUAAAGGCAAAUGAAGAAUUCUUAAAAUAUGCAAGGACUCAAGAAUCAUAACACCUGCAAGCCUCUCUUGAAAAUAAUAUUUGACGAAAUCCAGUCAACCAAGAGAAUUGAUGUGAAGAGUAUAGUAACCAAGAAGACACAAAACAUAAGAAGUAAUUAUGGGCUGGGCGCAGUGGCUCAUACCUGUAAUCUCAGCGCUUUGGGAGUGCGAGGCAGACAGACCACUUGAGUCCACGAGUUCAAGACCAGCCUGGGCAACAUGGCGAAACUCUGUCUCUACAAAAUAAACAUUUAAAAAUUAGCUAGGUGUUGUGGUAGGUGCCUGUACUCCCAGCUACCAGGGAGGCUGAGGCAGGAGGAUUGCCUGAGCCCAGGAGUUCAAGGCUGCAGGGGGCUGUGACAGCACCACUACACUCCAGCCUGGGCCACAGAGUGAGACCCUGUCUCAAAAACAAAACAAAACUAUGAACUAUGACUCCAUUAAAAUUUAAAAUUAAUAAUGAGAUUUACAGUUACAGCAAAGAAUGUAAAAAUGAAAAACAAGCUUCACAAUUUAAAAUAAUAUAACUAAUGGGCUGGGACAAAAAUCCUAGAGCUUGUUGACAACUCAGUAGGGGCUGAGCGGCCAGUGUAAGUGAGCUAAUUUCCUUGUCUUUCACAGCAAGAAGUCAAUAUUCACUUUGUUUUUUAAAGUUAAUCAAAAUAUUAAAAGUUUUUAAAGUUUAUCCUUUAAAAUACAAAAGUGGCCAGGUGGAGUGGUAUGUGCCUGUAGUCCUAACUACUUGGGAGGCAGAGGUGGGAGGAUCACUUGAGCCCAGGAGGAGUUCAAGGCCAGCCUGGGCAACAUAGCAAGACUCUGCCUCUAAAAAAAAAAAAAAAUUAAAUUUUUAAGUAAUUUUAAAUUACCAGAAGGGGUGAGAAUGCAUCACAAAAUUGACCAUAUAGCUCAAGAUAAAAAAAUAGAGAAAUGACAGUCUCCAGAUCCAAUAUAACUGGGAUUCUCCACUUUAAUAUCAGACGGCAUUGAAUUAAAGGUAAAAAAAAAAGUGUGCAUCUGUAACAAGAAUGUAAAUGGCCUACAUCUCUAUACAACACAAAACAGCAUUCUGGCAGAAACUGCUAGCUGUCCACCAAAACCUAUUCUCCCCUUGCAUGACCCAAAAUUAUAGGUAAGUAUAUAGCCGUUCAGAUACACCCUGCAUUUGCUUGGGAUUUCAAUGGAAUGUGAGCAGAGGUGAGUGCCACCCCAGGCCUGGCCCAUAAACCUUCCUGCCUGCCCUCUGUGCUUGUCCCUUUCCCCGUAGGUUGGAAUGACAAUGACCAAGGUGAUGGCAUUGAAGAUGGCCACACGGCUUCAGCCCAGCCUCCUGUGAGGCUGUCUCUCUUUUCUCCACACCCACUCUCCCUACAAGAUCAGCUCUCAUUGACAAUUGAGCCAGGGUUCUAGCAGAAGGCAGAAACUGUAUCCCACUUAUCUGGAUGGAAAGAAUUCAAAGAUUUGUUUAAUUCGAUCUAAAAUAGGAAACGGAAAGCGUAAACUAUUAUAUUUAUUUGGGUCAGGGAGGCAAGGGUCUACUUGUUCUAGCAGUUUACACAGUAUAAGUAUCAAAAUAUAUAAAGUGGGCAGGUGCAGUGGCUUGAGCUUGUAGUCUCAGCAACUAGGGAAGUUAAGGCAAGAGGAUCACCUGAGCCUAGGAGUUUGAGGCUGCAGUGAGCCAUGAUCGCACUGCUGCACUCUAGCUUGAGUGGCAGAGAGAGACCCUGUCUCUCAAAUAAAUAAAUACAUUAAUUAAAUAUAUACACACACACACAUACAAGUACCUGCAAAUCCAAAGAGAAACAAAAACAUAAUCAGAGGGAAUAUAACACCUAUGACAAAUAAAAUCCAUGAAUAUAAAUAGUGAUAUAGAGGAAGGGAAUAAUAUGUAAUUAUUGUUACAUAUUAAUAUAUAAAUAUUUAAUUCCAUAUCCAAACAAAGAUUCCAUUUAAUUCCAUAUUCAAACAGAUUGUAUCUUCUAUUGCCCCUGAGACAUUUCUUGAAACUGAUCAUAUUUUGGGUGCCAAAGAAAGCCUCCAUGCAUUGCAAAAUUAGAAAUAGUACAGAUUGCAUUCUCUUAUGUCAAACAAAAGAAAAAAAAUCUACAGUUUAAUAUCCAAAAUAGAAAAAAACAAAACCCAACCUUUUGGAAAUUUUGAAAUUCCUUUCUAAAUUGAAACCAAAACUAAAAUUUCAGAAUAUCUGGACUAUGAUCGAAUUUCUAUAUAUAAGAUGGCUAAAACCAUAUUCAGAGAAGAAAUCCACAGCUUUAAAUGUCGUACUAAAUAAGACAGAAUGGAAAUAAAUUGACUAAAUGUUAAUUUCAAAAAAAAAAACUUAAAAUUAUGACAAAGUAAACAUAAGCACAAGAAUGAAAAUGAUAAAGUGAAACAAAUUUAAUAACAGGAAAACAGAAUAAAUCCAAGAUCUGGGUUCCCCCCAGUUUUAUUAAGGUGUAAUUAACAAAAGUUAUAUCCAUUUAUGAUGUACAAUGUGAAAUGAAUCGAGCUAAUUAACAUAUCUAUCACCUCACAUUUUUUAAUGGUGAGAACAUUUAAGGUCUAUUCCUUUAGCAAUUUUCAAGUAGACAUUAACUAUUUAGUCCCCAAAACCUGUUUUUUGAAGAAACUGUUAGAUAGCUAUACCCCCAGUCAGCCUAAUUGAGUAAUGAUGGAGACUAAUAAUAGCUUUGAACACCUAGUAUACUACGUGCUGGGCUUAGUGCCCUAUGUAUAUCAGCUCUACUUUAUAAGGUAAGAACUAUUAUUCUCAUUUUGCAUAUGAGGAAACUGAGGCACGGGGUUUAAGCAUUUUGCCCAAGGUCUCACAAGUAGUAAAUGACUCAACAGUCAGAUUCCAAGUCACCAAAUUAGAGCUCAAAAGAGGAAGUCAUCACAGAUGUAGAAGACAUUUUAAAUUUUAAAUUUAAAUGAUACAUAGUAACAUUAGAAAAUUCUCAAACUUGUGACAUGACUGCCUCAAAGGUGCUUCAUGAAGAAACAGGCUCAUCUGUUUUCCAAGAGCUGAGAAUCCCGGGGUAGGGCUGGAGCGACCCGCUGUCACCCGGCCUGUGACCCCGUUUACAGUAGCCUUGGCUCCUCUGUGACAGGUACGGUAUCUUGUGGAAAACAGAAUGGGGGCAACGGGGAGCAGCUUCCCUAAAUGAGGAAGCUGGCAACCUUGCGGCUCUGAGAGAAGUGUAUUUAUUCUGAAACCUGGCUUAAUCCUUUCUUGCUAAAAGAUUACCUGAGGCAUAUCUGACAGAAAAAGCAGACCCCAGUUCCAUCUUGUGGAAAGCACUAAGAGCUACUAAAUAAGCCCGGACAUUCCCAGCAUGAGUGUAUUUCAUUCCCUUUGAGAUCCCACCAUAAAAUGAAAGUGAAGAAACUCGGUAACAUCAGUCGCCCACUGUCAAGUGCCCACCCUACCAUGGUGGAGGAGAAACAGAAUGUGAGGUAGAUAAUUAACGGUCCCAUCUUAUGCAAUCAGUACAGUGAACUAAAUGGGGCAGGUUUAAGUGGCAAUUUUGGCUCAAAUGCCAGCUCAGCCACCAGUAAAGAUGAUGGGUUCAGAAGGGUUGGGAUCAUUUAGAGAAGUGUUUGUUUUCUGAGGCUGAAAGUGGGAGCUGUAAUCUGGAACCUUUCAUGCAACAUGUGUUUCUGGUUCUUCAGAUUCAAUUGUUUUUUGAUAGAGACAUUGCAAAUUAUGAAAGCACAGCUCAUGACCUAGAAGUUUUGCAGCACGAUCGUUUCCCUUCUGGACAACUUCCUACAAGACUCUGGGUUGAAAACAGCAGGAUGAAUCCAGGCAGAAAGGAGAUGCUUUGAAUCUGAUUUUUUCCUGCAACUUCCUUUUCCAAAAUAAAUAAAUAAAUAAAUAAAUAAAUAAAAAUAGCGGAAUGAUUCUCCAGCCAUUGAAAUCAUUAAUCUGCCCUCAAUUAACAAGAUUCUGUUUAGUUUUAAGAUUUCUGGCCGGGCGCCGUGGCUCACGCCU
rnacentral:lncRNA from 10 species